rnacentral:lncRNA from 1 species
UUCAAUUGGAAUCUUAAUUAAAGAAAUUAGUUCAUGACAGAAUUUAAAACCAUCAAUCCUUUGAAAAUCAUCCUUAAAGAAUUACACAAAUUGAAAAAUAGGAGAAGAAGAAAAACUCUGGAGCCACUCCUUCAAUCUUCAAGUAAUCCCUUGCUUAGUCUUCAAUUGUGGUAGAUCUCCUUCUUUAAUUCAGCAAAGUAGCUUUUAUAUCUCCUUCUCAUCUCCCCACAAUCCUUUUCCUGAUCAACAACUUAAUUAAGUUCCUUAUCUAAGUCAACUCUUCAUCACAUGCGCGCAUCUGGUCAACAUGAGCCGGGCUCCAGCGCCCCGGCGCUGAGAAUAGUACUAGGACUAGCGCCCCGGAGCUGUAGUUCAAAGAAAUUAUAGUUUUGCCACUCGUAUGCUAAAAUCCCAAAUUUGUCCCUACUCCGCUUCAAUCUACAAAAUAAACACGAACACAGUGAAAACUUAUCUAAAAAAUGUGAGAACAACAACAAUGUAAGCCUAAAAUGUAUCCAAUUCAUGGGUAUAUUCCCCAUUCAUCAAAUACCUCCAAACUUAAACCGUUGCUUGUCCUCAAACAACAAACACAAUGCAACGCAAAAACUAAAUGUAUCAUGCAAAUGCACCUAAAACUAUCUACAUGGUUGUAAUUCCAGCAAUCGAAUAGCACCCCGUAUAUUCAUUAGGCCUCAGAAAAAUCACAAUAACAUGAUAAUACAUCAUGUUAAGACAGAUCAAUAAUAUCCCAACAUUCAACAAAUCCAAAUAUGUUAUUACUGAUAUCGUGUGUGUGUUCAACAACCAUGCUAACUAAUAAAAAGCAAAAUACGACACAUAAUAGAUUUCUUAGAAGGCAUCCUAUAGUGCAAUUUCAGAAACUCCUUAAAUAAACUAGAUUUGGCCAAAAUCAAACAUUUACCAAAGUCCAAGGAUCAACAUGGAAUACUUAUGCUUACUAAUAUAUUUUAUUUAUUUAUUUAUUAACGGGGGCUUUUUGCACUUUUCCUGCUUUAUUAUUUUUCUUUUUCUCAUGGCUAUGCAGUGUCCUAUUCCCUUAGGCUUUUCAGUGUUACCUUAACGAGCUUUCGACCAACGACUCCCAAGCCAUUAAGACCUUAGGGCGCUAGGUGUAAAGACAAUCCCCUCGGGCUUACUUACUCAAGUAACAAAGGCCACAAAACUAGACAAGAAUGCCACGGUUUUUUUUUUUUAAAGCUUAUAUACUCCAAAUAUUUUUUCCCCAACUUGAAUUUAUGUCUAAAUUCAGUCAUCACUGGCUAUUCAAAUUAUUCCUUCAUUUCACUAGCAUUCAUCUUUUAGAAGUCUAUUAUCUAUCCAUUUAAACUUUCUUAGCCAACAUGUUAAUUUUUCAAAAAUUGUUAUCCUGAUAAUAUCAGUGUCAAACAGAUAAAGAUUUAAAUUAUGUCAAGAAAAUCACUCACUAGCUUAACAAUCCGUACUAGACUUGUUCAUGCAAUUUUAAUUUCAUCAUUGGCCCCAAACAUACGUAACUAUUAAACAGCUGGAAUUAAUAUGCAAUCCUAAAUGCAACACUUAACCAACAAUAUAAACACAACUAUCCACAAUCUACUAACAAACUACUAAUGCAAAUAAAAUUUAACUACCCCCAAACUUAGCAAGAGCAAUGUCCUCAUGCGAAAAAUAGAACAAUAUAAAACAGAGGACUUCCCUGACGAGCUUAUUCCUCGGGUGGAGCAUCAUCAUCCUCGCUCAUCUCUUGAUCGGAGGGGGGAAACACAGGCAGAACAGGAGCAGUAGGGAACUGGCUAAGAUUAACGCCCGGGUACAGUUGAGCGUUCAUCGCAUUCUACGUAGAAAAUUGGUCGACCAAAUAUUUGUAGAUGACAUCUUGACGUUCAGAUAGGCGGACAUUCUGAGAUUCGAGAUUGUAAAACCAAUCGUUAAUUUCACGCUGCACGGCUUUAGGAACAACACCACGGUGAGCAGCAGAUGAGGACCCGUAGCUAAGAGGAGCUGUGGCUGGUGGAUUUGGUUGAGCAUCAACUUAAGGAAUUAUAAAACCCAAUCCACGUGGGUGAUUUGCACCACCAGUCCACACCCUGUAUCGGAUAAUCAUCUUAUGGUCCAAAACCGGCAUUGGGGGCUGUAUCAUUUCAUCGGUCUUCCAUUUGACCCCAAAUUUAGAACAAAGUGCGCAAAUUAGAGAGGGGUGUGGUAAUCCUCCCAUGGUACCUCCUCACGAUGCCCACAGAAUGGAUUGUUGAAUAAUAAGACCCACAUCCAUCUUCAAUCCCUGAAUGAUCGAAUACAACAACACUGAUCUUUCCUUAGUAACAUGGCUAACAUGUGUGCACGGCAUUAAUUUCGCGCAGAUAAAUGUAUACCAAGACUUUCCAUAUAAACUGAGACGCGAAUGCGGGAAAGUCAUGCUGCCCCGUUUAUGCAUUAUCUACGUGGUGUCGGGUUGACACAGCUCGCGAAUGAGCACUUCAUAGUCAGGUCAUUGGCUCAGAAAAUUGGCAUACUCAUUGUUUUGAUCCUCCAAAUGCAGUUGAUAACAUCCGUUAAUGUCCCCUUCGCCGAAUUUGACUGUCUUGCCAUGCACAUACACUCCAUAAUGGUAGUGCUCAGAUACGUUGGCGUAGAACUCUUUAAUGAUUGCAAUCACUGCCGGGUCCGGUUGUUCAGUAAGCGUGAACCAAUUUCUUUCCGCGAUCAUCACAGCCAUGUCUCCAUCCUUUGAUUGGUCGGGCCUUAAUCCGCAUCCGGGAACUAGUGAGCGUUCUUGAGCUGCGGCACAGACGAACCGGCGGCUGUCAAAUUUUUGAGGUGCCGAAGCGGAUUCAGACCCAUCUCCGCGUUGACGCUUUGAAGCCAUCUAGAUAAUUCUGAAAUGGAAAACACACCCACGUAUUAGAAUAGUGCCCAAAUAUGAUACGGAAACACGUAACCAUCUCACGACCCCCAAACUUCAAAAUAGGACCACCUUGUGUAACAGGAUUUUGGGGGUAUGGAUAACCACAUAUUAGCAAGUCAUUAGAAGCUCUGAACCACUGAGCCUAAAUUAUCCAUAACAUGAGCAGAUAGCACACUUGUUUAAUGAAGAACAAGGGCUCUAUCAUCUAAAUCAUAGGUUCAACAAUCUAGCAAGAUAUUCUUUUUAACACAGAGAUGUUAAACUGUCAUGAAUGCAAGAACAACUAGUUAAUGUAAGUGUGGUAUCGCUAGGCCAGAAUGUGUGUGGACUCAGAAUCCAGGAACAUUAGCUCAAAAUCCAUUGAUACAUUAUUCAUUAGAAUUCUCGGUUGGGUUGAAAUUGGCCAUCAAAAGUCACUGAAGCAAGUCAAAGAACACCUGGUAGGCACUAUUUAAUUCUCUGUGGGCACAACUAUGCAAAUAGCAUUCCAAACCCCAAGCAUAUCAAUCCACAUGAAACACAAUAACAUAGGUGUACAAACCCAAUCAAUCAGUGCGUCGCACACAUACACUAGGAAACAGCCAGAAGAAUCGAGUGGAAUACGUACUCUCAAAUCCGUAUAAAACUAAAAAUAAAAAAUUUAAUCACCAAUAGGAGAAACAUAUAACUCACGAGUAAAAAGAUUCGGUGCAACAUAGAAUUGAAUUUAUUAUCAUACAUACCUGGGAUCGUGGAAGAAUAGACCGAAAUCAAGUAGAAAGGGAUGAAUUGGAUCCAAGCGGGGUGUAUUAAGAGGUAUGCAGUCUAUAUUUUGUGAUACAAAGUAGGUCAGUUACCCGAGAAUGGAAACGGUUACAACGUGUAUAAUUGGGGGAGGAAGUUAAAUGGAUUACGGAGUGUGACUAAAAGUGAUUUUUUUUUCAAACCUGGUUGGGGCGCUGAGAGUUUAGCACAAACGAGCGUUGGGCCGCUGCUAGGCAGAGGACUCUAGCGUCGGGGCGCUGAGUUUGGCCUAGAAGCGAGUGCCAGGGCGCUGAGGUUGUCGAAAAGCUACUGAGGUGCAGAGCCGGGGCGCUGUAGACCUUGUAUACUGGGCGCCGGGGCGCUAGAGCUGCUAAUUGACUGACUCCCUUUUUAUUUUCCUCUCCUAGGAUUGAC